rnacentral:rRNA from 1 species
UACGAAGGGGGCUAGCGUUGCUCGGAAUCACUGGGCGUAAAGGGCGCGUAGGCGGAUCUUUAAGUCGGGGGUGAAAGCCCAGGGCUCAACCCUGGAAUUGCCUUCGAUACUGAAGAUCUCGAGACCGGAAGAGGUAAGUGGAACUGCGAGUGUAUAGGUGAAAUUCGUAGAUAUUCGCAAGAACACCAGUGGCGAAGGCGGCUUACUGGUCCGGUUCUGACGCUGAGGCGCGAAAGCGUGGGGAGCAAACAGG